rnacentral:rRNA from 1 species
UGGGGAAUCUUGCACAAUGGGGGCAACCCUGAUGCAGCGACGCCGCGUGAGCGAUGAAGCCCUUCGGGGCGUAAAGCUCUUUCGACCGGAACGAUAAUGACGGUACCGGGAGAAGAAGCUGCGGCUAACUACGUGCCAGCAGCCGCGGCAAUACGUAGGCAGCAAGCGUUGUUCGGAGUUACUGGGCGUAAAGAGUGCGUAGGCGGUUUUCUAAGUUCGGUGUGAAAUCUCCCGGCUUAACUGGGAGGGUGCGCCGAAGACUGGGAAGCUGGAGUGUGGGAAAGGCAGGCGGAAUUCCUGGUGUAGCGGUGAAAUGCGUAGAUAUCAGGAGGAACACCGGCGGUGUAGACGGCUUGCUAGACCAUAUCUGACGCUGAGGCACGAAAGCGUGGGUAGCAAACA